AGUGAUUUGACAAUUCUAUACUUCACAAAAUUUUUACCAUGGCAUUUCUCUUGUCUACCAGUAGACCACUGUGAAGGGAUGAAAUACGAAAAUGGAGGAAGGAAGUUACCCUGCUGACUAGCUGAUACAUCUACUUUGUCAUCAAAGCACUGAGAGAGUGAGUGGUGAUCACUACAGUCUGCUCAAGAUAUCUUGCACUUCCUGUGGUGACCUGGCCUCCCAAUAUAGGCACGCAAAUAAACACACGUGCAUGGACAACAAAUAUAAUCUCCAAAGUGCCUUUUU